UUGGACGCGGUGCACGUAGCACUUCUGCCCAGCAUCCACGGGAAGGAAUAUUGGAAGCAGGUUUCCUGGGUUCGAUUCCCAGCGUCCGAG